UGGCACGCCGGGCACGCCCGUCCCAAUGGCAAAAAGUUCGAAGGGCCGCUCCUGUGUUUCCUUCCUCCAUGGUCAACCCUUACCACGUGAGAGUUAAUUUUGUAGAGAACAAAGUUGACGCACAUUAUCUUACAGCUAAACGCCAUUUUAAAAAUGACGCUCACUUCCAUAGCUUUUACGUUAAUAAAGCAUUCAGCUACUUCGCCGCUACGAGCUACGAUCCGCCGCGCCAUCUGCAAGGCCAUCUGUGUUAUCGCGUUUAUUGUUUACGUCGUGGGUGGUCAUGUUGGUUGCGCGGAGCAGAAACCAGAAAGUAUAAGUGAAUGACAUGUUCGUGGCUGUUGUGUCGAUUAUUCGAGAGACCUACAUAUGCCCGGUGUAGUUCUGGUGUUCGGGGAUGCAAAAAUCAUGUUCGUUCACCAUCGGCGGCGGGCGUUUUCUACCACAAGGUUCUACAGGAGAGUGCGCGAAAACGAAUGUGGUUCGAAACACUCGGCUAUUAGAUGUAGCAGUCGUGUCGUGUGUGCUGAGCUCAUAUUGCUGCCGAUGACUACGAAGAUGCCGUAGAAGGCGAAUUGCGAAGACGUCCGAAGCACACUGAUGUUCAGUAACUAGUGAUUUUGCUUCACCGAGGUGACGAGUUCAACACGUCUUAGGGGCCUUCCAGUGCUGAAAUGGCGCAAGACUGCUUCGUGUGUGUGUGAUCCAGGCACUCAAGUUGGCAUGACAGAAAUAGCUGAAAGCAGGUAUGCAAAGUCUACAGAUGGAAGCACUAGAUUUGUUACGUGUUGCAGACUUUGUGACAUUUUUUGGAGUCUUUGGACAGGUGCAGAACAUUAGUAUGACGUCAACAAUAAGAGAAGAAACCGAUGAGAGCUACUAGCUUGUUUGAAGGGUACAAGAAUACUUCCUGUUGAGGUGUAGUUAUGACUAAGGAACGCUAAUUAAUUUUCUAGCGAUGCAUCCUCUACACUUGAAUGCCCAAUGAAACAGCAAAAGUUCAUUGUCUUUGAAGCCCCACUACUGGAAUUGUUCAAUGUGUGUCAGAGCUGCAGUGAGCCAUGCAAGGUUACCACGUCAUAUCGGUCCUAAAUUUGCAGAGUUCCCCUAUCUCGGACGCAACUGUCAUUUCUCUUUAUUGCUCUUCCGAUCCCACCUUCUCAGAGGUUAAUGUGGUUCACCAUACACUGCAUGGGCACUGCCUUUUUUUACUCAUGCUUUGGGUUUCUUGUUCUGUUGAAUAAAUCUUCACUUGAGUUUGCAGCCAUCACGCUGGCUACUGUGCUUGCCCCUCAUCUAUACUGAUGUGCUAUAACGGUAUAGCACAUCAACAUGCCAACAACCUACCAACAACAACCAACCAACCUUGCCUAGUCCUACUUUUGGAUGGAAACUACACGAUGUGGUGACAUCCACAUAUAUAAAGUUUUAGUCGACGGAGAUUUGAUGUGAAGGAUAGAUGCUGUUUUUGAACAACCUUCGUUGUACAUUUCUUUUGUCUCACUUAGCAUGCCUGAAGAAAUGUUCUCAUCUUCAUCAAGAUGACAGGUCAUUGUUUGAUCUGCAGCAUUAUUGUUCCUGUAAUCUUUUCACCAAGAGAGAAUACAACAGUGAACAAAUGGUUUUACAGCUGUAUCAAGUACGUCGAAACAUUAGAGGGCAGGAAGCCCUACUCUGUUUCCUAAAUAUCUGGACAAUAAAAAAGAAAGAUAUAGUUUGAGUUGUGACAAAAUGUUGCUUCUGCUCUUAUAUUAUAUUUCAAUUAAAUGUUACGAUGCAUUUGUCAUGCACACUGAAGCCAGUUGCAGUUUACGGGGCUGUUAAAAGUACUUUGCAAAAGUACAUCUCAAUUACAGUAACAGAGAACUUAUGCAAUAAAUUAUUUAGCCAUUUUGGAGUAUUAUGAACACCAAUGGUGCAUGGUUAACUUUGAACCCAGAUCAAGGGUUAAUAAUACCUGAAGUCAGCCCUCAAGACCUCCUUUACAAAUGUUAGUUGGCGACGAGAUAAUGAAUCAGUUACAAGUACAGUCAAACUCCUUUACAACGAAACUCAGGGGACAGCAAAAAAAAUUCGCAGUGAAGGUAUUUUCGUUAAAAAGGAUGUCUAUUAUUGGACCUAUAGGCUCCAGCGGGACCGCAAAAAAAAUUUGCUGUAGUGGUAUUUUCGUUAAAAAGGUGUUCGCUAUAAAGGAGUUUGACUGUACUCCGUUUAGCGAAACAGAGUUAAUUAAGUGUAAAUCCCAAUCUUGGUUCAAAUAUUAAUUGACAUUUGGAAACGUGGUCACUAAGAAGUAUUCUAAAAGGUUCUGAACA